rnacentral:tRNA from 1 species
GGCAUUGUAGCUCAAUGGGGAAGAGCGCACGGCGGGGAAACGCCGUCGAUGGUCGUUGCAGGUUCGAGUCCUGCCAAUGCCUCA